GGGAUCAGCUAGACUGUAAGGUGUGUGAAAAGUGCCCGACAAGACAGCCACAUCUAUGGCAAGUGCUACAGGAAGUGUGGGGUGAAAUGUCACCUGAGUAUCUGGACAAACUGGCAGCUAGAAUAUCAAAGAUCUGCAAAGCCGUCAUUGCUGCACGUGGAGGAUUUUUUGAUGAAACAUCUUUGAAGUUGUUUAAGUACAUUUUUUUCAGAUUGUAAUAGUAAUUUUUCACGUUAUUAAUGUCCUGACUAUACAUUGUGAUCAGUUGAAUGCCACUUUGGUGAAUAAAAGUACCAAUUUCUUUCCAUAAGAGCAAAAUCUGUACAUUAUUCCAAACUUUUGGCCGCCAGUGUAUUUUAUAAGAAAUAUUGUCUGUUGGUUAAUUCCUAGGAAUGAGUUUCUGUUCAUAUGCAGUGGAUAUAUUGAAGUGCUAUACUGAUACAGAAAUGGUCUAUCUUUCCCUUUACUCGAGAUGAAAAUGUAUUUUAAAAGCUGUAUAGAAGAUCCUGUUUGUAUUACUUGCCUUCAGAUCACUGUGGGAGGGAUAUUAUAUAUAUACAUACUGUGUGUAUAUAUAUAUAUAUAUAUAUAUAUAUAUAUAUAUACACACACAUAUACAUACAUACACUACCGGUCAAAGGUUUUGAAACACACUCAUUCUUCAUUAUAAUUUUUUUUUUUUUUUUUUUUUCACAUUUUAGAAUAAUAGUAAAGUUAUCACAGCUAUGGAAUAACAUAAAUGGAAUUAUGUUGUGACUAAACAAAAUCCCAAAUAAAUCAAAACUGUGUUAUAUUUUAAAGUAGUCACCCUUUGCCUAGAAUUUGCAGACAUGUACUCUUGACAUUUUCUCAACCAACUUCUUGAGGUAUCACCCUGGGAUGCUUUUUAAACAGUAUUGAAGGAGUUCCCAUCUAUGUUGGGCACUUAUUGGCUGCUUUUCUUAAUUAUUUGGUCCAAGUCAUCCAUUUAAAAAAUAAUCAGUUUCAUAAAUUUUAGUUUUAUAAUGAAUUAAAUUAAUAUGGUGGCACAACUGUAUUUUUGUCUACAAAACUAAUUUCAAACAUUUAAGCAUACGCCUUCAGAUCAAAAGAUUUUUAAAAUCAUGAGAAACAUUUCAGUCAAGUGUUUCAAAAGUUUUGACCGGUAGUGCAUGUGUGUGUGUAUAUAUAUAUAUAUAUAUAUAUAUAUAUAUAAAUGAAAAUUGAUUAAUUAUAUAUAGAUAGAUAUUUAAUUAGUUGAUUUAAAUGAUGGCACACCGCUGCAGUUAACUGGUUUCAAACCUUGGCCUGGCUUUUCACUGACCUUUUCUAAUUCUGUUCACAUGCUUGUUCAUCAUUUCGGUUUAUAUUUUUCUUGUUUUGUCUGCGUAUCUGUUCAGUUCACAACAAUGUACUCUUUAGAUUUAAUGCUGUAUAUGGACAUAACAGACAAAAAAGAAGAAAACAACACUACAGAUGAAGGUUUUUUUCCAGCUGUAUUUUGUAAAAGCUGUUCUAAAGAUGUAUUUUUUCAACUCUCUUACAGUGAUGCAAACAGGGCCAUGGGCUCACCUCAAACACAAAUCAAAUCAGGUUUUUCCGGGAGGGGUUUUUUUGUUUGUUUUUGUUUUAAAUUAAUAAAAAUGUCCUUCUCUUUCAAUUGUACUACUGUUCCUCUAUGAUACAUUUUAAAAUAAAGCUUUGGUAUUUC